rnacentral:lncRNA from 1 species
CUGGAUUUAUUUAUGUGGGACAGAAUUGCACAAGGUCAUUGGCCUUCCUCUCUCUUCCAGACUCAUGGAAAUCCAGUGUCAAGACAAAAGUCAGGACACCUGGUGAAGGCCCAGGAUGCAGAGGAUGACCUUGGCAUCCUCGACGUCUGACCAAGCCGUAAGCUUCCACAGUGCCUACUUCAGCUGCCUUCACGGUUACUGGAACAAGCUGUUCUUAUCUGCCCAGACUGGACAAUUAGGAAGGAGCCAGUGUGGGGAGGAUUAAAAACCCCAAACAAAUGACUUUAUAUUUGAUCCAGGAGGUUAGUGAGUGGGGGGCAAGGGAGGAGUAGCACGGGCAGACCUUAGAUUUGGAAAACGUCUCCGGGAACUGAGUGAAAUAUUGACUGGGGGGGCAAAGACGUAAGGCAGGAACCAGCCAGAACAUUCUCACAAUAGCCCAGUUAUGAAGUGAUGAGGGUGUGGCAGUGGGAGAUUGGAGGGGGGGGUUUGUUGCCAUCCUUUUUACCCACAACAAUAAGCAGAGCUAAGUGCUUACACAGUAGGCGCUUAAUAAAUGCUCAGCAAACCAUUUGAGAGCUGCUGUAAAGGGAGAAAUGACAAGACUUGGAGACGUGGAGGGCAUUAUGGACCCAGCUUCCUUCAUCUCCAGGGUUCCCAUGCAAGUAUCCAAGCCUUGGCCAGACCUCAAGUACCCACCAGGGGGCAGCACAAGAUAACGACAAACAUGGCACUCCAUCACAUCAGCCAAGGAUUCGCACUAGUCUUGUCUUUUGUCUUUCUUUAUACUCUCAGCACUUAGCACGAGGCCACCUGGGACACUGGGACAUAGUAGGCACUCAAUUCGUAUUUCUGGACAGUCUGGCUGACUGAUGGUGGGACCAUCCCUCUCCAGGGAGUGAUGCUGAAAGCUGUCUACUGGGAUCCAGGAGGAUGCUUCUAGCUCUCAGCCAUCACCCUGGCGGCUCUUUGUGCCACAGCUUGGCACCCACUUCCCUUCUCCAACUUUUGGCAGGAUUUCACAUUGUAGAUCACCCCUUCCUUCCUUCUGGCUACUUUCUCUUCCCUGGGUUUCAUGACACUGCUCUCCCCUAUCUUUCACCCCCUGCUAUCAAACAAUAAUUGAAAAGCAUUUAUUUAUUAAGAACUUACAGGAGGGUCAACUAGGUAUCUCAGUGGAUUGAGAGCCAGACCUAUAGUGGGAGGUCCUGGGUUCAAAUGUGACCUCAGAUACUUUCUAGAUGGGUGGCUUUGGGUAAGUCACUUAACCCCUGUUGCUUAGCCCUUAUUGCUCUUCUCCUUUGGAAUCAAUACUUAAUAUUGAUCCGAAGACAGAAGGUAAGGGUUUUUAUAUUAAACAAUAGAAAAAAGAAAGAACUUGCUGUGUUCUAGGCACUAUGCUAUAUGCUGAGGAUAUAAAGGAAAA